rnacentral:lncRNA from 10 species
AGAACCUGACAAUUGGUGUCAUGAACAGGAUCCUGAGAUUUAGAAGCAGUGGCGUCCCUCUUGCGGCAACAUUUAGCAGCAUGUGGUUGGGCCGUCAACGAAUCCAAGGUCCAAGGUCCUGGAUUAUCUGCCAGAUUCUUGGGAGUUAUCUGGUCAGGUAAGACAAAGGCCAUACCAGAAGCCAUCAUUGACAAAAUUCAGGCAUGUCCCCGGCCCACCACAGUGAGAUAGCUGCAAACUUUUGUGAGCCUCCUGUGAUAUUGACAGACAUUUGUGCCCCAUUUAGCUCAAAUGAUAAAACUAUUGUGUCUGUUAACAAAGAUGGGAGCUAUCCG